GGAUAUGGAUGGGCAGAGGCAGGAUGCCAUCUGCACAGCACCUGUGGAUUCAGCUGACCUGGCUGGCUUGGUGUCCCCUUCUUCUCUCAACCUUCCUCAUGUCCUCCUUCUCGAAGCUGCAUGCUCAAAGAAGAUGACCUUCCCAGCAAAAGGACCAUUCUUUGGCAAGCAUAUCUUUCCAAGUUUGCUGCAAAGAUCUAAUAAGAUAAUGGAUAUAAAAAUGCUUUAAAAACUGAAAGCACUACACAAGUGUUAAGUUAUUG
rnacentral:sRNA from 1 species